UCCCACAAUAUGGAAAGCAUUGAAAAAUAUAUUGUGAAGGAGGCAGUGUAAGGUGAAUUGGUGCACAGUCCCCAUAACACGCUUGGAUUUAGAUGGUAGGGAGUUGAUGAGUUGCACAGUGGCCAUGCUGUCGCAUCAAAAAUGGACUGCAGAAUUGCUAAAUCCACUUGUCCAAAUUCUCACAGCUACUAGCAUUUCUUGCUCCCAAAAGGAUAAUCCAUUGAAGCUCUGAAGGAUGUCCUGUCACCUGGAUAUUAUGAUGCAAUUAUGACAUCCCACAUAUAGCAUCACAUGGCCCAUGCAAAAAGGCCCUACUUGGUGUGAUAACUCUGUAUGCUGAAGUUGAAGUGGCCAAUUAAUUCCUGGAACUCUCAAAAGUUAAUGGAUAAGAUGUAAAGUAUUGUUUCUAUAAGCCACUGUCUUCUACUAAAAAGAAAGGAACAUUUCCAGGCACUACACGAAGUAGGAACAGCUGCUCGAGCUUUAAUAGCUCAAAGAUGGCGUUCGAAAGAUACCCCAUCGGAAGACGCAUGGAUCACCAAAUUAAGGGAAUACAUGGACAUGGAUACGAUGACCUUUUUACUGCAAGAUUAUACCAAAAAACAAAAGACGGACUGGUCACCAGUAAAAAAAUUUUACAAGGGAAACAUCAGAUUAAUUUUGAAUAGUUGGUCAGAGCAAAGAUAGACAUGCGUCAGACUGAGAAUGUGCGGGGAUAUGGGCAAGGAAAAUUUAUAGCAUAAUGUAAAUGAAUUACUGCCCCUGUGGAAUCGA